UACAGAGGUCCCGAGCGUUGUUCGGAUUCAUUGGGCGUAAAGGGUGCGUAGGCGGCGGGGCAAGUCUGAUGUGAAAUCCCGGGGCUCAACCCCGGAACUGCAUUGGAUACUGCCUUGCUAGAGUACUGGAGAGGGAACUGGAAUUUACGGUGUAGCAGUGAAAUGCGUAGAGAUCGUAAGGAAGGCCAGUGGCGAAGGCGAGUUCCUGGACAGUUACUGACGCUGAGGCACGAAGGCCAGGGGAGCGAACGGG
rnacentral:rRNA from 1 species